rnacentral:sRNA from 1 species
AUUUAGCCCCGAUAGAAGCGAUAUCCUUUUGUGUCCGCCGCGGCGGACAUAAAAGAUAUAGCGGAUAGCGGGACAGAAC